rnacentral:lncRNA from 1 species
GAUGUUGCAGUUCUUUUAGACAAUGAAGCCAUUUAUGAUAUCUGCAGGAGAUCUUUAGAUAUUGAAAGGCCAACCUAUACCAACUUGAACCGGUUGAUAUCUCAAAUCAUAUCCUCUUUAACCACUUCUCUGAGAUUUGAUGGAGCUAUCAACGUAGAUGUUACUGAGUUCCAGACCAAUCUAGUACCUUAUCCUAGAAUUCAUUUUAUGCUCUCCUCUUAUGCACCUGUUAUUUCUGCUGAGAAAGCAUACCAUGAGCAGCUCUCUGUACCUGAAAUUACAAAUGCCGUUUUUGAGCCAUCAAGCAUGAUGGCAAAAUGUGACCCGAGGCAUGGGAAAUAUAUGG